UGGGGAAUAUUGGACAAUGGGCGCAAGCCUGAUCCAGCCAUGCCGCGUGAGUGAUGAAGGCCUUAGGGUUGUAAAGCUCUUUUGUCCGGGAAGAUAAUGACUGUACCGGAAGAAUAAGCCCCGGCUAACUUCGUGCCAGCAGCCGCGGUAAUACGAAGGGGGCUAGCGUUGCUCGGAAUCACUGGCCGUAAAGGGCGCGUAGGCGGACUUUUAAGUCGGGGGUGAAAGCCCAGGGCUCAACCCUGGAAUUGCCUUCGAUACUGGGAGUCUUGAGUUCGGAAGAGAUUGGUGGAACUACGAGUGUAGGGGUGGAAUUCGUGGAUAUUCGCAAGAACACCGGUGGCGAAGGCGGCCAACUGGUCCGAAUCUGACGCUGAGGCGAGAAAGCGUGGGGAGCAAACAGG
rnacentral:rRNA from 1 species